rnacentral:rRNA from 1 species
UACGUAGGGCGCGAGCGUUGUCCGGAAUUAUUGGGCGUAAAGAGCUCGUAGGCGGCCUGUUGCGUCCGCUGUGAAAUCCCGGGGCUCAACCCCGGGCUUGCAGUGGAUACGGGCUGGCUAGAGGCAGGCAGGGGAGAACGGAAUUCCCGGUGUAGCGGUGAAAUGCGCAGAUAUCGGGAGGAACACCGGUGGCGAAGGCGGUUCUCUGGGCCUGACCUGACGCUGAGGAGCGAAAGCGUGGGGAGCGAACAGG